UGCCCCAGUAGCGGCGAGCGAAGCGGCAAGAGCUCAGAUUUGAAAUCCGGCCUUCAGGGGCCCGAGUUGUAAUCUGCAGAGGAUGCUUCGGGCAGCGCCGCCGCCCAAGUCCCCUGGAACGGGGCGCCGUGGAGGGUGAGAGCCCCGUACGGCGGCGGCGUGAGCCCGCUGAAGCUCCCUCGAAGAGUCGAGUAGUUUGGGAAUGCUGCUCUAAGCGGGAGGUAAAUGCCUUCUAAAGCUAAAUAUUGGCCGGAGACCGAUAGCGCACAAGUAGAGUGAUCGAAAGAUGAAAAGCACUUUGGAAAGAGGGUUAAAAAGUACGUGAAAUUGCUGAGGGGGAAGCGCCUGCGGCCAGACUCGCGCCCGGCGGAUCAACCGGCUGCCCUGUUUUACAGGCGUUGCCGGGGCACUCCGGCGGGGUUUAGCGGGCCAGCAUCGGUUCGCCUGCGGGGGAUAACAGCGCGCCGGAACGUGGCCCCCCCUUCUGGGGGGGUGUUAUAGCCGGCCGCCGAAUGCCCCGCGGCGGGCCGAGGACCGCGCCCUUCAGUGGGCAAGGAUGCUGGCGUAAUGGCCGCAGGCGGCCCGUCUUGAAACACGGACCAAGGAGUCGAACGUCCCCGCGAGUGUUUGGGUGCACCGAAGCCCUUACGCGCAGUGAAAGCGAACGCUGGUGGGAGCCCCUGUUACAGGGGGGCGCACCGCCGACCGAUCCAGAAGCCCUGGCGGAAGGAUUUGAGUAGGAGCGGGGGCGGUCGGACCCGAAAGAUGGUGAACUAUGCCUGCGUAGGGCGAAGCCAGGGGAAACCCUGGUGGAGGCCCGCAGCGGUUCUGACGUGCAAAUCGAUCGUCAAACGUGGGCAUGGGGGCGAAAGACCAAUCGAACCGUCUAGUAGCUGGUUUCCGCCGAAGUUUCCCUCAGGAUAGCAGUGCCGGCGCCCAGUUUUAUGGGGUAAAGCGAAUGAUUAGGGACUCGGGGGCGCUGAUUAGCCUCCAUCCAUUCUCAAACUUUAAAUAUGUAAGAAGCCCCCGUCGCCCAGGCGGACGCGGCGCUG
rnacentral:rRNA from 1 species